GUGGGGAAUAUUGGACAAUGGGCGAAAGCCUGAUCCAGCCAUGCCGCGUGUGUGAAGAAGGUCUUCGGAUUGUAAAGCACUUUAAGUUGGGAGGAAGGGCAGUAAGUUAAUACCUUGCUGUUUUGACGUUACCGACAGAAUAAGCACCGGCUAACUUCGUGCCAGCAGCCGCGGUAAUACGAAGGGUGCAAGCGUUAAUCGGAAUUACUGGGCGUAAAGCGCGCGUAGGUGGUUUUGUAAGUUGGAGGUCAAAUCCCCGGGCUCAACCUGGGAACUGCCUCCAAAACUGCAUGACUAGAGUACGGUAGAGGGUAGUGGAAUUUCCUGUGUAGCGGUGAAAUGCGUAGAUAUAGGAAGGAACACCAGUGGCGAAGGCGACUACCUGGACUGAUACUGACACUGAGGUGCGAAAGCGUGGGGAGCAAACAGGAUUAGAUACCCGGGUAGUCC
rnacentral:rRNA from 1 species